ensembl:lncRNA
CUAACCCAUAGCAAAGCAAAAUUGAAGAUGAGAUCUCCUUUAUGUCACAUUUACAUCUCCUAGAUAUAAAUGAGCACUAAUUGAGACCAAAGUGGUUUUCUCAUUCUUCUCAAAUGUCUCUCCUGAGAAUUAAGUCUCACAUUGAGCACAGUGCAAGUUCUCUAAAUUCUCUCACAGCUGUCUCUUUUCCUGAUCUCAACUAAGAGAAAAAUGAGACAUACAAUGCAGCUUUCAAAUAUGUCUCAAUUUGAUCUCAAUUAUAUCUCAGUGAGAAAUAUGUCUCGUACUGCUCACUAUUUGAGUUCUCAGAUUCUCUUACAGUUGUCUCUUUCUAGUGUUUCAGCAAAAAGAAAAAAUAGAGUAGUGUUAGCUCUCAAAUUAGUCUCAAUAUGAGACAUUAUUUAAUAUUAUAGCUCAAUCAUAUCUCAAUUUAUCUCAGCGCAAAAUUUAAGAAAAGAAGUAUAUCAAUUCAGGCAAAUAAUUUGAGAUGGUUUACAUAAUGUUCAACUUACAAAAGGUGUUUAUUUCUGACAAGCCAUACAAUUCAUUAAUUAGAAUUUUGAGUUCUAAAACGUAACCCAUCAAAACAUAAGCCAUGAUUUGCUCAAAAGACACCUUUGUGAACUUUCUAAAUGUUGACAAUUGUGCUGUUUUAAAAGAAUUCACAGCAAAGCUCUAUUGUAUAGAGCAGUAAAAGAGUGUGUAACACGUUACUCCAAGAAUCCUACCUCAUGUGUGAUGAAAGAGUCCGUUAUGACUAUUACUAUUAACGUUGCACGCGCGGGAGACGUGGUAGCGCCAAGACCCGCCCUACGAAGCAGCUCAUUGCAUGGCUCACGAUUGAUUAGACUUUUCACCUCGAGUGGUUAAGGUUAGGAUAGCGGAUUGGUCAGGGGAUAGGACCUGAACAAAUAAAAAUGUUGUUAUCUAGAAUACAGGGCUUUUAAAAAGAAUGUAAUAGUAUAAAGGAAAUAUAAUCUGUGGGUAUACUCCAGUCCAGCGGUGGCGGUAAUACAACAACAAGUUAUCAACCGCCAGAUAAAAAUAGAAGAAGAAGAAGAAGAAGAAGAUUGGAGGGCGGGUCUUGGCGCCAAUUCGUAAUUUCGUUGGGGUGAGAGAAGUGCGUCGGUAACUGCUGCUGCACCUGUUGGCUUUUGCCCCUGCCACGAAGAGAAAAACAAAGUGCUGGCAAAAAAGAGGCUACGGGUUCCCACUCAGAAAAUUGAAGGACCUGAGCUCCCCUCCCCCAAAUGAGCAAUCUGAAAUUCAUUUCCAUCGGUGAAUCCAUCACCUGACGGGGGACAUGCAACAGGCCGCAACACAGCUGGACCACCACCCUAUGGAUACAGGCCGGGUCAGAGAGCUUCAGACUCUCUGCGACUUAAUUGGAGAGAGAUCUGGUGGCAGCCUAGCUUCACCAUCAAGCCAGCAGGAGCUGUUUCCUGGGAGCGGCCAAUUCAUCUCAUCAUUCCGCCUGGCUGCCAUGAAUCACGCAUCAAAACCAAAUUGCAUGCGUCUGUUUCAUGCACUUUUUGAUAAUUUCUUCACUGUUGAGGAGUGUCAAAAUGCAGUGCCCUUUGGUCACCCUGGAAACAACCCCUCAGGAAAGGAAGGAAAGCCGGUCCUUGACUGUAAAAAAGUUGACUGAAUCCUAAAUGUGCAACUCUACCGGACUGGGAACCAAUUGAGGAGGCCAAGCUAUGUGGACCGCGAUCUCUCUCUCUUUUGUGUGUGUGUGUGUGUGUGUGUGUGUCACACAAAUGCAGUUUUCAAUAUUGAGUAUUGUUUUUAGUUGUUUCUAAUUAAUAAAGAUAAUUAAUCUUUAAAUUGCGUUCUCAAUUUGUUCUUGUAUUUCUCAAAUAUACCUCAGAUAUCAUUCUCAUAUAUAGCUUCAGUAAGACAUUAAAGAGAAAUAAUCAAGAGAUGGAAGAGACGUUGGACACACAAUAAUAAGAUCUCUUUUAAGGCUCAUAAUUCUCAGAUUUGUCUCAUGUUAUUCUCCUUCAAAUGGCCGAGACACAAUUGAGAUCAGGGGUAUACAAUUAUGAGAUCUCUACUGUCUAUCCCACUUCUCAAGUAUUGCUCAAAUGGUAUUCUCAAUUUAACCUCCUUUGUCUUACUCAUGUCUUGUCUCUUUUUAGCUUAUGUCUUGCUCCUAAGGGACCCUUAGGAGAAGUAACUCAGAAACAAAUGAUCACAGAAUGAUAUGAACAUGAGAUGCUCAAAUUGAGCUCGCGAGAUGAGAUUGAACAACAGAUGAGCAACACAUUUUUCCUAUGGGAAGCUACUUCAACAACUCA